rnacentral:piRNA from 1 species
AUGGGCAUGUAACUCAGUAGUAG